rnacentral:snoRNA from 1 species
AAACCAUGGUUUGGAAACCUCACCAUAUAUAAUUUGAAACGAUCAUAUGCCUCAUGCAACUGUUCUCCCUGUACUUGCUUGAAAAAGAAGAUUUUAUCCCUGAGCUC